ACGGGUGAGUAACACGUGGGUGAUCUGCCCUGCACUUCGGGAUAAGCCCGGGAAACUGGGUCUAAUACCGGAUAUGACUGCAGCAUGCAUGUGCUGUGGUGGAAAGAUUUAUCGGUGCAGGAUGGGCCCGCGGCCUAUCAGCUUGUUGGUGGGGUAAUGGCCUACCAAGGCGACGACGGGUAGCCGGCCUGAGAGGGCGACCGGCCACACUGGGACUGAGACACGGCCCAGACUCCUACGGGAGGCAGCAGUGGGGAAUAUUGCACAAUGGGCGCAAGCCUGAUGCAGCGACGCCGCGUGAGGGAUGACGGCCUUCGGGUUGUAAACCUCUUUCAGCAGGGACGAAGCGUGAGUGACGGUACCUGCAGAAGAAGCACCGGCCAACUACGUGCCAGCAGCCGCGGUAAUACGUAGGGUGCAAGCGUUGUCCGGAAUUACUGGGCGUAAAGAGCUCGUAGGCGGUUUGUCGCGUCGUCUGUGAAAACCAGCAGCUCAACUGCUGGCGUGCAGGCGAUACGGGCAGACUUGAGUAUUUCAGGGGAGACUGGAAUUCCUGGUGUAGCGGUGAAAUGCGCAGAUAUCAGGAGGAACACCGGUGGCGAAGGCGGGUCUCUGGGAAAUAACUGACGCUGAGGAGCGAAAGCGUGGGUAGCGAACAGGAUUAGAUACCCUGGUAGUCCACGCCGUAAACGGUGGGCGCUAGGUGUGGGUUUCCUUCCACGGGAUCCGUGCCGUAGCUAACGCAUUAAG
rnacentral:rRNA from 1 species